rnacentral:rRNA from 1 species
CCCUUAGAUGUUCUGGGCCGCACGCGCGCUACACUGAUGCAUUCAACGAGCCUAUCCUUGACCGACAGGUCCGGGUAAUCUUUGAAUCUGCAUCGUGACGGGGAUAGAUUAUUGCAAUUAUUAAUCUUCAACGAGGAAUGCCUAGUAGGCGCAAGUCAUCAGCUUGCGUCGAUUACGUCCCUGCCCUUUGUACACACCGCCCGUCGCCCCUACCGAUUGGGUGUGCUGGUGAAAUGUUCGGAUCGGCCGUUUGUCGCGGUUUCCGCGGCUCGUGGCUGAGAAGUUCAUUAAACCCUCCCACCUAGAGGAAGGAGAAGUCGUAACA